rnacentral:rRNA from 1 species
UACGAAGGGGGCUAGCGUUGUUCGGAUUUACUGGGCGUAAAGGGCGCGUAGGCGGCCAGCGCAAGUCAGUUGUGAAAUCUCCGGGCUUAACUCGGAACGGUCAACUGAUACUGCGCGGCUAGAGUACAGAAGGGGCAACUGGAAUUCUCGGUGUAGCGGUGAAAUGCGUAGAUAUCGAGAGGAACACCUGCGGCGAAGCGGGUUGCUGGGCUGAUACUGACGCUGAGGCGCGAAAGCUAGGGGAGCGAACGGG